AGUGAACGCUGGCGGCAUGCCUUACACAUGCAAGUCGAACGGCAGCACGGUUACUUGCCCCUGGUGCCGAUUGCCGGACGGGGAAGGGUUACAUAUGAACAGGUCCUUUAUUUUUGGAUAGCGCUACGGUAGCCGGAUUAAUGCUACAUACGAUCACCAGAUACGAGCGGAGGCCCUGCUUGCCUCGCGCUUGCGCGUUUGCCGAUGGCGGAUUAGCUAGUUGGCGGGGUAAAGGCCUACCAAGGCGACGAUCAGUAGCUGGUCUGAGAGGAAGACCAGCCACACUGGGACUGAGACACGGUCCAGACUCCUACGGGAGGCAGCAGUGGGGAAUUUUGGACAAUGGGCGAAAGCCUGAUCCAGCAAUGCCGCGUGUGUGAAGAAGGCCUUCGGGUUGUAAAGCACUUUUGUUAGGAAAGAAAUCCUUCGCCUUAAUACGCUCGUGGGCUGACGGUACCGGAAGAAUAAGCACCGGCUAACUACGUG
rnacentral:rRNA from 1 species